GAUGAACGCUGGCGGCGUGCAUAAUACAUGCCAGUCGAGCGAACAUACUAGUAUCUUGCUCCUCUUACGUUAGCGGCUGAACUGUGAGUAACACUUGGAUAACCUAUCUAUACGUCUGGGCUAACUUCGGGAAACUGGAGCUAAUACCGUAUAAUAUAUUGAACCGCAUGGUUCAAUAGUUAAAGCUGGAUUUGCUGUCGCUUAUAGAUGGAUCCGGGCCGCCUUAGCUGUUGGGUAAGGUAAUGGCUUCCCAAGGCGAAGAUGCGGAACCGACCUGAGAGGGAAAUAGGCCACAUUGGAACUGAGACACGAUCCAGACUCAGACGAGAGGCAACAGUAGAGAAGCUUCCGCAAUGGGCGAGAGACUGACGGAGCAACCCCGAGUGGGUGAUGAAGGACUUCGAAUCGUAAAAAUCAGUUAUUAGGGAAAAACAAAUGUGUAAGUAACUAUACACGUCGCAACAGUACCAACAAGAAAAGCACGGCUAACCACGUG
rnacentral:rRNA from 1 species